AUGAAGUUCUGGGGUGUGGAAGUGAAGCCGGGACAGACAGUUUAUUGCGACCCUGGUGAAGGGCGUGUUGUUCAUCUCACACAGGUUGCCCUGGGUGAAGCAGAGAAAGGAAGUGUCGGCAUACUAGUAUCUGCUAAAAUUGGUGAUCAAAAGGGGGCCAUUGGAACUCUGUCGGCUGAAAAUCACCCUCAUAUUCCUUGUGAUUUGAUCUUUGAGAAACAGUUUGAGCUAUCACACAGUUCAAAAACUGCCAGUGUGUUUGCGUGUGGUUACAAGAUUUUUGUGCCUAUCUGCGAGUCUGAUUCUAGCGAGCUUGAUUCUAGCGAGUUUGAUUCCAGUGAGUCUGAUUCCAGCGAGUCUGAUUCUAGCGAAGAUGAAGUGGAAACUGUAAACAAUCAAGUGACCAAUCGUAUUGUCGGCAAUGUGGUAAAGCCUCCAACAACAAAGGAUGAUAAAAAGGUUACAGAUAAACCUGACAGUGGUGAGGAUGAUAGUGACUUUUCUUCAGAUUCAGAUGAUUAUGCCGAUGAUGGGUACAGUAGCUUAGAUACCGAUUCUGAAGAGGACGGUACCGGUAGUGAAGAGAUGGAUACCAGUAGCAAAGAGGAGGACAAAGACAGUCCUAAGACUGAGGAUGGCAAGAAGGCGGUGGCCGAGACUGCCUUGAAGACACCUGCCUCUGACGAUACCAGUAGCAAAGAGGGUUCAGGUGAUGAGGAAAACAAGAACACUCCUAAGCCCGAGGAUGGCAAGAAGACGGCGGCCGAGACUGCCUUGAAGACACCUGCCUCGACAGCAUCAUCUGGCCCUUGUGCACUACAGCCCGAGGAUGGCGAGAAGACGGUGGCCGCCGAGACUGACUUGAAGACACCUGCCUCUGACGAUACCAGUAACAAGGAGGAUACAAAUGAUCAGGAAGACAAAAGCACUCCUAAGCCUGAGGUUGGCGGGAAGAGGGCGGCCGAAACCGCCUUGGAGACGCCUGCUCCUGACAAGAAGGCAAAGAUUGAAACACCAUCUGGCCAGGACGCCGGUGCGGUCGUAAGAACAGUUUUUAACCAACUAAAUCCCCAUUUACUUCAGAUGACAAGAAGACUGUCCAUGUGGCAACUCCCCAUCCAGCAAAGCAGGCCGACAAGGCGCCUGCAGGGAACAGCAAGCAAAACCUCAAGUCCAAAUAUGUCGGCGGCGCCCACGCCUGCAAGUCGUGCAGCAGGACAUUCGGCAGUGUUUCAGCGCUCCAAUCGCAUGAGAAGGCCAAGCACGCUUGAGCUGCUGCUGGUGACAACAUGUUGCUGA
rnacentral:rRNA from 1 species